GAUGAAGAACGCAGCGAAAUGCGAUACGUAAUGUGAAUUGCAGAAUUCAGUGAAUCAUCGAAUCUUUGAACGCAUAUUGCGCUCUCUGGUAUUCCGAAGAGCAUGCUUGUUUGAGUAUCAGUAAACACCUCAAAGCUUUUGGAUUUUUUAAUCGAAAAGCUUUGGACUUGAGCAAUCCCAACACCAAUCUUUUUGAGAUCGGUGGCGGGUUGCUUGAAAUGCAGGUGCAGCUGGACAUUCUCCUGAGCUAAAAGCAUAUUCAUUUAGUCCCGUCAAACGGAUUAUUACUUUUGCUGCAGCUAACAUAAAGGGAGUUUGACCGUAUUGGCUGACUGAUGCAGGAUUUCACAAGGGUCGGCAACGAUUCUUGUUAAACUCGAUCUCAAAUCAAGUAAGACUACCCGCUGAACUUAAGCAUAUCAAUAAGCGGAGGA
rnacentral:misc_RNA from 1 species